rnacentral:misc_RNA from 1 species
AUCAGUUUUGUUUUAACUAUGAACGAAUGCAGAACAUCUUGGAGCGCUCCAAACAAUGGCGUCGUGAAAUAUUUUCUGCUACUACUGCUGCCGCUGCUGCUGCUGGAAAGUGGAGCUGUGCAUGCAAAAAUUUACACAAAUGAGCCUUUUUCAUAUACUUUGGUGGCACCUUACACCAUCUCUUCGUAUCAACCCUAUAAAGUUGCUGUGGCCAUAUACAAUUGCAAAUAUUUGUGUAGCUAUGAGGUCUCUCUGCGCGGCCCCAACCUCAAUGUGAGCAUGAUAUUGAAUGUAACUCCAUAUUUUCCAACCACUACGUAUGAGUUCAAUACUCCGAAAUUAGAUGUUGGCACUUAUUGGCUAAAGGUAGACACGACGCAGGGAUGCUAUUUGAAGAACUCAACGGCCUUACAAUGGCGUACCUUUAAUGGCUUUGUCAAAAUACAAACGCCCAAGGUUUACUAUAAUCCCGGACAAUUGCUACAAUUUCGCGCAUUCUUUCACAAUGCGGAUAUGCUGCCCAAAAAUGCAGAGGAGGAGUCAGUAAUAUGGAUUGAGGACUCCAAAGGAUUUCAUGUCAAGGGCUACAGGAAUCUUGAGCUGAAAAAUGGAAUAUACGAAGGUGAAUUAAGACUCAGCUCACAUCUUAACUUUGGUCUUUGGCGUAUUUGUGCCAGAAAUGGUUAUCAUGUCCAUGAGGAAUGCGCCUAUAUACAUGUUCAAAAAUAUAGAUUGUCGCAGAUGAAAAUUGAUAUGACUGUUCCAGCUGAAGUAAGUUUAAGUGACGGCACAUUUGAGCUAGUGAUACACGCAGUGCACGAUGUUGAUGGUCCAGUCAAUGGCCCUGUUACUGUUUAUAUCGAGCUAAUAGGUGCAAAUAAAACAAAUUCUGCGCCAGUUGUACAAACUAAGAUCCAGAUGGAUAACGGCACAGCAAAUAUCAAUAUUGAUCUAAAGCAAUUCAAAGAUGACUUAAAAGACGUAAAUGCGGGCAAGCUACGAUUAACCGCAAGUAUUUAUGAGAGGUUGAUCCAACAAGAUCAAAACAAAACACGGAUGGUAACAAUAUGGACGAACAGUGAGGAUAUCGGUAACCUUACCCAAUCCAAACCACAGGAAAAGGAUCCUACUAAAAUACCGGCUAGACCAAUGAAAUUAAUGGAGACAGUCUACUUUAAUGUUAGCCACGUGGUUGAGAGUGCAAUAUCUAUGGUGGUACAUAAUCGCCGUAUAUUAGAUUCAAAACAAGUCCAUCCAGAUAACACGCAAAAACGAUUUAAGGUCCAAGUUGAAUUAAAAAAGCGAUUGUUGCCAGCCUUUUAUGUGUUUUUGUACUAUGUGCACACUCCAUCGAUGACUUUAUGCCUACAUUCUAUAACCGUUGAGCUGGAGCUAUCACAUCACGACGGUGUCUUUAUCGACUUGCCCGACAAAUUGGAGCCUGGCGUAGACAUACAGUUCAAUAUCAAGGCUAGACAAAAUUCCUAUGUUGGCCUUACUGCUAUGGAUAAUCGAGUUUAUGUUCUUGGUGAAAAUAUGGAUAAUGAUUUUCGUCUAGACUAUUUCGAUUUUAUAAAAACAUCCGUGUUGGACUCCGAUAUAAUUUUGACCAACAAACCAGCUAUUAUACAAGCGGGAUUAGUCUUUCUAUCAAGUGCCCACAACACUACCGGCACAAAUCAAACAAUUAAAUUGUUGAAGCCAAUGGAGACGUUUAAUUACACAAUUGCAAUAAGGCCAGAAUUUCAUAAAAUAACCAAUUCAGAUAAAACCCCCAUACAGUCUAAUUAUGCAUGUUGUCAUGUACCAAAGGUGAUCCACGAAUAUAACGAUAUUUGGAUGUUUGACAGCAUAGAUUAUACAAAAAGCGAUUGGACCGCAUGGCAUGCAAAAGUGCCAAGAUCGGCUGUUGACUGGCGAAUGAGCGCAUUUUCAAUUCAUCCUGAGAUAGGGUUAACAUUUCUAGCGCCGAAACCGUUUAAGAAUGUAAAAACCAUCAACGAUAUUUAUUACACCCUAAAGACUCCCAGCUCCGUACAACGUGGAGAAGAAUUUGAAGUCAUUUUGCUGUGUACUAACUGGUUUAGCACAAAGUUGCGACUCGAUAUUAGUCUUAGGGUGACUUCACGCUUUAAAUUGGUUGAGAACAGCGGAAAUUUCCGUGCCAGGUUAACCAACAGAUUGGUGACCGUAGCGGUAAAUGAGACCGUAAAGACAAUAUAUUAUUUACGCGCCCUUCAGCGAGGAAAAAUGACACUGUAUUUUACCAUACACUCUGAUGGUGGCAACCAUGAGAUAAUUAGAGACAUCUAUGUUCUGCAAGACAUUCAUUUAAGGACCCAGCAAUUCUUUAGGCAUAAAACACUAACACUUCGACACCAAUCUAUGAGAGGCAAAUUCAUAUUGGCGAACAAACCAUCCGAAUCGGGCAUCCAGUGCUAUAUAAGUGGUCACUUAAUUGUACCAAAGUUGCAAAAUCUGAAGUUUUUGAAAGAAUCAGAUAAUACCGAGGAAAUAAUCAGCAAGCUGAUGUCCACUUAUUUGUUGUACAACUAUGUAAUGAAUGCUACAUGGUGUUCACCGGCCUAUAAGCAGUUUCUGAAGGAGCAGUUAAUCGGAGGAUUACAAUCGCUGAUGCGCGUACGUCAUGCGGAUGGAGGAUUUCGAUUGCAUGUUCAAAAUGAUAUGGCGAACUGUACGUCAACAUGGAUGACAACAUAUGUCGUACAAUACUUGCAUUACUUAGAGAAAUUACCAAAUAUGAUCUAUGAGCCAAAAUUUAUAAAACAAAGUGAGAAAUUUGUAUUAAGCAGACGUGGAAAAAACGGAGAGAUCCUAGAGAAUUGCUAUACACCUAGCCGACGAAAUAUAUCAACAUUGGAGCUAAAUAUCGAGGUUUUAAAGGUUCUGCAAUUCUCCAAGCGUUUGAUCGCAUUGAAACAACCCCAUGCAUGGGUUACCUUUCUUAUGAAUCUGAAAUUUCAAUACCAUUUGGAAGCUAAGCGCGGUCUUAACCCAGUUGAAUGGCAACGUCCGAAAGAGAAUUUGAACUGGAUACAAUAUCGACGUGAGCUUGAAACAGCUGGGCGUAUUUUAUCCAGAGAAGUGACUCUACAAAACCCUGAACAGCAGCCCCGAAUUUUCGAGUGGAUAACGCAUCAAAUUCUCGGCCCACUGUUCAAUGUCUUUUGUUAUGAGUGCUUUAUUGCAGAGCAGGCCUAUUACGACUAUCUGAAUACCCUACCGCUUGUCAAAACAGACAUAACCCUAUCGUUCUGGACAGCUUCGAAAGCGAAUAGUAAAAACCUGCGUAUCAAUGAUAAAAAUGAGUGGGAUGAACAAUAUGUAACCUUGAAGCCAAUUAACUCGUCCAUUGAAUUCAAAGCCGAUGGCAUAGGGGAUUUGGUCGUACGCUGCAGCUAUGAAUAUGUUGGAGAGGAUACACAAAAAACUUUAUACCAUGCAACCAUAAAAUUCACUAAUGAAUUUGAUAUCAAGUUUUGCGUUCAGCGCUUCGGACGGAAACGAAAGGCGUAUAUGGGCACGAAUAUAGAGAUACAGUUGCCAUCGGGCUAUGUUGUGAAUGAGGACAGUAUACCCCAUUUGAUGCAAAAGAUAUUGAUUGUUGUAAGUUAGAGUACCUAUAUCUAUACCUAUGGAAUCUAAAUGCAAAGUUAAGUCGCAUAUGAUUAAUAAAAUACUCUCAGCUAGUACUGUAGUUUGAUCUGAACCAUGGAAAAUAUUGAUUCAGAGUAUAAUGAUAUUGUGAAAAUUCGGAAAACUAAAGGAAACAUGACAGACCCCAUCAAAAAUCAAAAACUGAAAUUCUUAAUAAUCUAUUGAUGCCUAACUUAUCCUAUUCCCUUCUUAUCGGCAAUAGCUCAAGUUCCAAGUAUUCUGUCAAGCCAUAUCAACGCAAAAGGGUACUAGACUUUUCCUGAUUAUGACCCCACUUCCAAAAGCAAAAUUGAUUUGCUAUACUU